rnacentral:rRNA from 1 species
UACGGAGGGUGCAAGCGUUAUCCGGAUUCACUGGGUUUAAAGGGUGCGUAGGCGGGCAGGUAAGUCAGUGGUGAAAUCCCCGAGCUUAACUCGGGAACUGCCGUUGAUACUAUCUGUCUUGAAUACUGUGGAGGUAAGCGGAAUAUGUCAUGUAGCGGUGAAAUGCUUAGAUAUGACAUAGAACACCAAUUGCGAAGGCAGCUUGCUACACGGUCAUUGACGCUGAGGCACGAAAGCGUGGGGAUCAAACAGG